rnacentral:rRNA from 1 species
UACGUAGGGGGCUAGCGUUGUCCGGAAUCAUUGGGCGUAAAGCGCGUGUAGGCGGUCCGGUAAGUCCGCUGUGAAAGUCGGGGGCUCAACCCUCGGAUGCCGGUGGAUACUGUCGGGCUUGAGUACGGAAGAGGCGAGUGGAAUUCCUGGUGUAGCGGUGGAAAUGCGCAGAUAUCAGGAGGAACACCAAUUGCGAAGGCAGCUCGCUGGGACGUUACUGACGCUGAGACGCGAAAGCGUGGGGAGCAAACAGGAUUAAGAA